UUUUUUUGUUAUAUUUUUUUACAUUCUUUAACUAGUGUUUAAUAAUAAAGCCGCGAAACGUAUUCAAGAGCUAUUAACUCGAGAUAACAUUAAGCCGAAAAGUGCACAGUGUGGAAAGUGGAGGUCAGGCCUUUGUAGUGUUAAAGCUACAAAGCACCCUAAUAUUCACUAAUGAUCCUUCCGCAGGUUCACCUACGGAAA
rnacentral:misc_RNA from 1 species